UGUGGCUCAGUGGUAGAGCGCUUGUCUUGCAUGUGUGAGGCACUGAGUUCAAACCUCAGCA
rnacentral:tRNA from 1 species